UACGGAGGAUGCAAGCGUUAUCCGGAAUGAUUGGGCGUAAAGCGUCCGCAGGUGGCUGUGUAAGUCUGCUGUCAAAGAGCAAAGCUCAACUUUGUAAAGGCAGUGGAAACCACACGGCUAGAGUGCGUUCGGGGCAGAGGGAAUUCCUGGUGUAGCGGUGAAAUGCGUAGAGAUCAGGAAGAACACCGGUGGCGAAGGCGGCAUCCUGGACCGAGAUUGACGCUGAACGGCGAAAGCUAGGGGAGCAAACGGG
rnacentral:rRNA from 1 species